AACGAACGCUGGCGGCAUGCCUAACACAUGCAAGUCGAACGAGACCUUCGGGUCUAGUGGCGCACGGGUGCGUAACGCGUGGGAACCUGCCCUUAGGUUCGGAAUAACUCCCCGACAGGGGUGCUAAUACCGGAUAAUGUCUUCGGACCAAAGAUUUAUCGCCUUUGGAUGGGCCCGCGUUGGAUUAGCUAGUUGGUAGGGUAAAAGCCUACCACGGCGACGAUCCAUAGCUGGUCUGAGAGGAUGAUCAGCGACACUGGGACUGAGACACGGCCCAGACUCCUACGGGAGGCAGCAGUGGGGAAUAUUGGACAGUGGGCGAAAGGAUGAUCCAGCAAUGCCGCGUGAGUGAUGAAGGCCUUAGGGUUGUAAAGCUCUUUUACCCGGGAUGAUAAUGACAGUACCGGGAGAAUAAGCGCCGGCUAACUCCGUG
rnacentral:rRNA from 1 species